GGGAGGAGGGAGGGUAGAAGGAGAACUGGCAGCUCUGCCUCCAGACUCUCAUAUGGACAGUGGAUCUCUGGGGACAACUGGUUGAAAGUCUCUCUCUGUCUCUACUGUUACUCAUGGCUGUGUGUGAGUGGCUGAGUGGGUUGGUCCUCUGCUGUGUCUCCAGAGUGAUUUAUCAGGUUUGCAGGGAGGAGACAGAGGGAGAGAGGGGGAGACAACUCCGGUAGCAGGGCAGGCGGCAGUUACCAGCCUGCUGUCUGGGUGUGUUAACUCCACAUCUGACCUCUAUGGGAACAGAGCAGCCUCCACUCCUCUCCUCCCCUCCUGGCAGACUGUGGGAACAAGGGGGACCGAUCUUCAUUUUACCCCCUCUCUCUCUGCCUCUCACUGGGCUGUCGAGCUCUGGGAAGCGGCCCUGGACAGAGCAGGACAUGACGAGACAGGACAGCUAUGGCAGCAAGACCUCAGCGGGAGACCUGGGCUCUGAGGAUUGCACUGCCGACUGAUUCUUGGAUCUAGAAUGGCACAGUUGGCACAGUCAGGCUGUCAGUCAGGCAGCCAUGCAGUUGUCUAGUCAGUCAUUAGCCAGUCAGAUGUUUAGUUAGUCAGCCAGUAAAUUGGUCAGCGGGGUCUUCCCCAUAGGGUCAACUCUUCCACUUUGUGCAUAUCCUCAUCUGAACUCUGAGGUGACUCAGACUUACCGAGUAGCAAAAAAACGGACCUGUGGGCAUGGUCACAGGUGCUCCACAGCUGCUGUGGACGAAGACAUCUGGAGCGCAGGAGGAUGUUGGAGAAGAUACAGAGGGCAGGAAAGGGCACAGAGGUUUCAGGGUGGAUCCAGCCUCUGCCCUCGGCUGUGGUGGGGAGGGUUCCUGGCACCGUGAUUUGAUGCACAAAGAGAAACAAAAAUCACAUUGCCAGGGAUUUCCACUCUUUCACAGCUCAGCAGGUGACCGCGUUAUAUUUCCACACUGGGAUUCUUUUGUUCUUGGCCGUUCUGUUUGUUCAGUUAUGAUCUGACACUGGAUGUUGCUAUGGAGUCAAAGGAAUAAAUAUUGGAGAGGUUAGACAGAUAUUGUGAUCAACUCUCUCAAUGGACUUGAAGAAGUCAACUUGUGGUUUCUCACACAGUAAAAAAGUACACGUCUCUUUUAAAUACUGUCUAAAUGCAUUUAAGGCUGCAGUUCAGCUGUCUUCACUGCUCUCCCCUUUCAAAUCAGCCAGGAAGUCGAUGUAAAGAUAGAAGAUAGAAUGCAUUUUUUUGAGGCAGAUCACGUUUCGGCUCUUGGAUCUUAGAUUUAUAAACAAGUAGCGAUUUUGAUCCUCUAUUGGCAGAAUACUCUGAAACACAAUACGAAUGAGCCCGGUUGAAGGCGAAGCAAACCUCUACAUCAUAAGCAUUGCUUGGCUUUGAAAGCCGGCACACUUUACCACUGAGCAGUCACGUAAAGGUCUGCGUGAGUCUCUGUUCCCUCGAAAGCCAGCCACCCACUUGCUAAAGGCACAGAGCUUAGCUAAUUGGUGAGCAUUGAUCCCUGCUAUGUGUUGUUCACAGUGGCUAAGUUCAGUGCCUGAGGUGAAAUAGUUGAUUCGACGGAGGGGAUUUGUUCCGGUGAAUGGAAAGAACUUGAUGAUCUCGGAUAUGAAGAAGGGAGGAGGGAGGAGGAGAGUGACGAGAGAUUAGGUGGAGAGGGAGAGAGGUGGGAAGACAGAAAAGGCUAAAGGUCCCACGUAGGAACUACGUCGGGUUAAGUGUGUUGCCAUGGACUAAAUGCAGGUCUUGGUUGUGCAAUGGCCAGUCCAGGCAUGAGACAAUCUGCACCGUUUUUUAAAUUGUGCUUGCCUGAAGCAAUAACUGCCUUAUCUUACCUUGUCUAUCUGGCAAGAACCAUCAUGCAUACCAAAUAUAUUUAAAAGCGCUUCAGUGAGACAGUUUGACCCAGGUUUAAUGUGGACUUAAAAAUGCCACAGGUUGUAUUGCGAUUUUAGGAAUGUGGUUCUAAAUGUCAGACCCGUCUGGGCAUGCCCAGUUCAUGUCCAACUGAGUUUGCUCAGGACUAGUGUGCCAGCGUUUUGGUGCCACACAGCAGCCUGGACUGUGUUGGAGUCUGAUAAACCGCUCCUCAUAGCUAAGCAACUAGUAAAACAAAGUGUAUGAAAUAGAUUAUACUGUGUGUAUAAUGCACACUACAUGCUCAUAGCUACAGCAUUAGGCGAAGGAGUGUAUUAUUAACAGCAUUAGUCUUUGGAGUCACAAGUUAUUUAAAAAAAACCCUCCUGUUCAGAACUAGCUGUGUAUUAUUUCUUCACUGUGUGUAAGCUAACAUUAGCCGCUCUGUCCCGCUCUUUAUUAGAUUAGUUACACUCCAGCAACCCAAAUUAAUGUUAGCAUUACAUUACAGACGCAUUGGUUCGUCCUCUUAGUCCUCACCAUAAAACCCUUUUCUCUUGUGAUAUUAUAAAUAAAAUUAUGGUGGUUGAAACUACUAACACAUUUGUAUGCUAAACCGCCAAUGUUAAAGCAGAAUAAUUAAAUAUUUUAUUAAAAUAUUAGGACUAACUAAGCUAGCAUUAUGAGAUCAAUCCCACUUCUCUUUGUCUGUUUUUCUGCCUAUUUUAUUGAUCACCAACUGCUGAGGAUGCUGACUGUCUGCCUGACCUCAGUUUUUUAGCACAAUAUAUCUUACUGUGUUAAUUUCUGUACUAUUGUCUGACAAAUUAUUAAGACUUUUGAGCUGUAAUUCUGCCACUGUUAUCGCUGUAAACAGUAUGCGUGCCAUACAAGCACAGAAAGCUUGACAGGCGUAGCAGCUGCUGGGCUUAGCUAACAGUAAAUACACUGCAUGUUGCAUGUCAUAUUACACUUUUUGUUGGGAUUUUAAAAAAAAAUCCUUCUGCAUUUGUGUUGUCAAACAGAACGAGGGCUGUGCCCUCCCGUGCCUACUGAACUGGUAUCAGUGUUUUACCUGAAAACUGGCUCAGUUCAGCAGGAACAGGAGUGGAGCCCACUAACUAGCAGCAUCUAUGUCCCGCGUUACCUCAUCAUCUUCCACUGAACAUGCAGCAAGGCGGCCCAGCUUCAACAUUUUGCAGCGCUCUCUUGUUUAGUUGACCACACCCACCACAGAGUGGUGUAGGGCAUUAGCGUCGAGUCAUUGGCCCUGAUGAAAAUCAAACCCGAGCCCUCCAACCUGUCAGACGAUGGCACUGAACCCUGAACUGUAUGCAAGGCAGUGCAGCUCCAGUAAGAUGACUGUCCCUUUCUUUGCUAAAAUAUGAAUGUUUCAUAAGCAGAUUUACCAUUUUUUGCUUGAUAGGUAGGCCCUGGCAUCCUGAGCUGUUGUGUGAAUAUUGUUACAUACUGAUGCAGUCGAUCUUGUUGUUCUGCUCAGCCUUCAUGUUUAUUUCAGCAUUGUUCCUGCAAACACGUCUCUCACUCUUUGCCUAUGUCUCUCUCUCUCUUUCUCUUUUUUCGGUCUUUCUGUGCUGUCAAAGGCCAGACUGAGACUGGAGUUCAUUGUCAGGUAAUCACAGUGAAAUGUCUGCUAUGCAUAUAUAAUUGAUGUCACCCAGCAAUCCCCAUUAUCAGUGAUUGGGAAUGUGUGCAAUGCUGCUUCUUCCCCGCUCGCCAUUUAACUCGCAGCCAACAAAAAAAAGUGCUUCAUCUUGAAGAUUUCAUACCCACAGGAAAAUGGAAGCUCAUUAGCAAGCAUGAUGAAUAUGCUCUUACCCAGAAACUCUACUGAUCCUGGUUGGCAACGUACAAUUAUAUUUCUGUUUCUCUGAUUUUUGCGAAUUUAAAUGUUCCACUCGGACCUUGAGAAGAUUACCCGAAGAAAGGUUAUUAGGAAAUCUGUGUUUUUAUCGUGUCAGUGAUGUGAUAUUGACUUCAGGGCAUUGUUUCAGCCAAGUGCUACCACAGAUAGGUUAGCUAUGAUUUGCGUAAGCGUUUAUUCUAACUGAAUGUGGAAGACACCAGUGCAUGAAGUGCAUUAUUAUAAAUGUCAGUGAUUUCCUAACUACUUUUAACCAUUUGAAGUAUGAUUUGUUUUUAUGUUACAGGUGCAAACUGUGUUUCAUUUCAUUACAAAUUCAGCCACAUUGUAAUGUAAUAAAGUUCAAAUGAACCUGAGAAA